rnacentral:rRNA from 1 species
UACGUAGGGGGCAAGCGUUGUCCGGAAUCAUUGGGCGUAAAGAGCGUGUAGGCGGCCAGGUAGGUCUGCUGUGAAAACUCGAGGCUUAACCUCGAGCUGUCGGCGGAAACCAUCUGGCUAGAGUCCGGAAGAGGAGAAUGGAAUUCCCGGUGUAGCGGUGAAAUGCGCAGAUAUCGGGAAGAACACCCGUGGCGAAGGCGGUUCUCUGGGACGGUACUGGACGCUGAGACGCGAAAGCGUGGGGAGCGAACAGG